rnacentral:rRNA from 1 species
GACGAGCUCUCCAAACGUUAUUCGGUAUCACUGGGCUUAAAGAGUUCGUAGGCGGCUUUGUAGGUGGGGUGUGAAAGCCCUCGGCUCAACCGAGGAACUGCGCCCCAAACCACAGGGCUUGAGGGAGAUAGGGGUAAGCGGAACAGAUGGUGGAGCGGUGAAAUGCAUUGAUAUCAUCUGGAACACCGGUGGCGAAGGCGGCUUACUGGAUCUUUUCUGACGCUGAGGAACGAAAGCUAGGGUAGCGAACGGG